GAUGAACGCUGGCGGCGUGCCUAAUACAUGCAAGUCGAGCGAACAGAUGAGGAGCUUGCUCCUCUGACGUUAGCGGCGGACGGGUGAGUAACACGUGGAUAACCUACCUAUAAGACUGGGAUAACUUCGGGAAACCGGAGCUAAUACCGGAGAAUAUAUUGAACCGCAUGGGUCAAUAGUGAAAGACGGUUUUGCUGUCACUUAUAGAUGGAUCCGCGCCGCAUUAGCGAGUUGGUAAGGUAACGGCCUACCAAGGCAACGAUGCGUAGCCGACCUGAGAGGGUGGUCGCCCACCCUGGAGCUGAGACACGGUCCAGACUCCUACGGGAGGCAGCAGUAGGGAAUCUUCCGCAAUGGGCGAAAGCCUGACGGAGCAACGCCGCGUGAGUGAUGACGGUCUUCGGAUCGUAAAACUCUGUUAUUAGGGAAGAACAAAUGUGUAAGUAACUAUGCACGUCUUGACGGUACCUAAUCAGAAAGCCACGGCUAACUACGUG
rnacentral:rRNA from 1 species